rnacentral:rRNA from 2 species
ACGAAAGCGUGGGGAGCAAACAGGAUUAGAUACCCUGGUAGUCCACGCCGUAAACGAUGAUCAUUAGUUGGUGGCAAAAGUCACUAACACAGCUAACGCGUUAAAUGAUCCGCCUGAGUAGUAUGCUCGCAAGAGUGAAACUUAAAGGAAUUGACGGGAACCCGCACAAGCGGUGGAGCAUGUGGUUUAAUUUGAUGAUACGCGUAGAACCUUACCCACUCUUGACAUUCUCGCAAAACUAUAGAGAUAUAGCCGAGGCUAACGAGAUCACAGAUGGUGCAUGGUUGUCGUCAGCUCGUGUCGUGAGAUGUUAGGUUAAGUCCUGCAACGAGCGCAACCCUUUUCUUUAGUUGCUAACAUUUAGUUGAGAACCCUAAAGAUACUGCCGGCGCAAGCCGGAGGAAGGUGGGGACGACGUCAAAUCAUCAUGCCUCUUACGAGUGGGGCAACACACGUGCUACAAUGGCUACUACAAAGAGCAGCAAAACAGUGAUGUCAAGCUAAUCUCAAAAAAGUAGUCUCAGUUCGGAUUGAAGUCUGCAACUCGACUUCAUGAAGUCGGAAUCGCUAGUAAUCGCAGGUCAGCUAUACUGCGGUGAAUACGUUCUCGGGUUUUGUACACACCGCCCGUCACACCAUGGGAGUUGGUAAUGCCCAAAGUCGGUGAGUUAACUUCGGAGACCAUUGCCUAAGGCAGGACCGAUGAC